CCAAUAGCGUAUAUUAAAGUUGUUGCAGUUAAAAAGCUCGUAGUUGAAUUUCGGGAUCAAUUUGUCGGUCGUGCCUCGGUACGUACUGGCAUUAUUGGUUUCUCCCUUCUGACGAACCACGAUGUCAUUAAUUUGGUGUCGCGGGAAAUCAGGACUGUUACUUUGAAAAAAUUAGAGUGUUUAAAGCAAGCUCACGCUUGAAUACAUUAGCAUGGAAUAAUGAAAUAGGACGUUUGAUUCUAUUUUGUUGGUUUCUAGGAUCGACGUAAUGAUUAAUAGGGAUAGUUGGGGGCAUUAGUAUUCAAUUGUCAGAGGUGAAAUUCUUGGAUUUAUUGAAGACUAACUACUGCGAAAGCAUUUGCCAAGGAUGUUUUCAUUAAUCAAGAACGAAAGUUAGGGGAUCGAAGACGAUCAGAUACCGUCGUAGUCUUAACCAUAAACUAUGCCGACUAGGGAUCGGAUGAUGUUAAUUUUUUAAUGACUCAUUCGGCGCCUUACG
rnacentral:misc_RNA from 1 species